CCUACGGGAGGCAGCAGUGAGGAAUAUUGGUCAAUGGACGAGAGUCUGAACCAGCCAAGUAGCGUGAAGGAUGACUGCCCUAUGGGUUGUAAACUUCUUUUAUAAAGGAAUAAAACGAGGCACGUGUGCCUUUUUGCAUGUACUUUAUGAAUAAGGAUCGGCUAACUCCGUGCCAGCAGCCGCGGUAAUACGGAGGAUCCGAGCGUUAUCCGGAUUUAUUUGGUUUAAAGGGAGCGAAGAUGGGUUGUUAAGUCAGUUGUGAAAGUUUGCGGCUCAACCGUAAAAUUGCAAUUGAUACUGGCAGUCUUGAGUACAGUUGAGGUAGGCGGAAUUCGUGGUGUAGCGGUGAAAUGCUUAGAUAUCACGAAGAACUCCGAUUGCGAAGGCAGCUUACUAAACUGCCACUGACAUUGAUGCUCGAAAGUGUGGGUAUCAAACAGGAUUAGAUACCCCUGUAGUC
rnacentral:rRNA from 1 species